rnacentral:lncRNA from 1 species
UGGCAAUUGAAAACAAGAAAAUGCAAGGCAACCGUGAGAAGCAGGAUCUAAGCAUGCAUUUUUCCAGAAAAAUGAAGUUCCUCAUCUUCUUCGUUGUUCUUCGCUGCGGGAUUUCGCAAACGGCGAUGGAAAUUUACAAACUAUAUACCGGUCGAACCGGUUUUUCCUCAGGAUAACGAAUAUAUAAUCAAUUUCAUCAAUCAAUCAACACACAUCUUGAAUCGAAGGAAAAGGCGAAUGGAGACGAAACCUAAAUCGCGGAUUUCUCCCUCAAUCUUUAACGAAAUUACAAAUCACAAAUGGAUACGUUAUCUAUGAAGAAAAGGCGAAUGGAGACGAAACCUAAAUCGCGGAUUUCUCCCUCAAUCUUUAACGAAAUUACAAAUCACAAAUGGAUACGUUAUCUAUGAGCUACGUACUACACAAUCCCUAACUCGAUUGAAGCUGUCGCAAGAUUUUAAAUCCGACCUUUCUUGAAGCUAGCUGCAAUGGAGUUCGCGCGUUUCGGCUUGAUAAUGCGAAACAGGUAUAGAAGAUUGGUGCAGCAAGCGAAUAGUGGACGGGAUUCAGCUCGAGUACCUUUGAAUCACUCGUUUUCAUCAACUGUCAUGGAAGAAACUUCUUUCUACGGUUGCGAAAUCUUGCGUAUUGAGCUUCGAAUCCUGCAAACAGAAACUCAACAACAAGUAUAAUUGACGAAUCCACCAAGAAUUCGCAUUAAGCUUCAAGGAUCGUCGAUGAAUUGGUGAAAAAAGGUCCUUGAUGAAGAAAAAAUGUGAGAGAGCUUGAGAGCUUUUUGCUUCUUUCUGUUAUAUGGAAAUUGAGAUUGUGAAGAAAAAUGAUUCGUUUCAAAAUUCUGUUAUGGUUUAAGUAUAUAUACCAAGCACUAAUCCAAGUCUUAAUUAUGCUUAAUGAAAAAAAUAGUGAAUUAGUGAGAAUUGGCUUGUGUGCAUUUUGGACUUUUAGCUCUUGAAUCCUUAGAAGCAAUGUAGCAGCAA